rfam:Lasius niger Lnig_2.1_6739, whole genome shotgun sequence.
ACGAAGUUUCAGCUCAAGAUCGGUGGUUAUCCCGUGGAGUACGAUGCUGCGAAACACGGGCCUUACGAUCCUGCGCGCUAUUACGGAAAACGUAAGUUCGUUCGUCGCG